ACGAUUUCCCGCUGAUCCUGCCCGAACCCGACUGCUAUUUGGCCUGCAGGCAUAGGCCAUGCGAGUUGAAAUGCAAUACCUAAAAAUCGCAUGGCAAACUGCUCAGUAACACAUGAUCAACUUACCCUAUAGAGGCAAAAUGACCUCCGCGAAACUGAGCAUAAUGUUCCAUAGUUGAAUCGGCUUGGAAAAGUUUUUCAACAAAAGGGAUAAGGAAAAUGGUCCUUAUCUGCUAUAGGAUAGGAUCGUGCUCGAUUAUGGUUGUUGGUGAGGUAAAGGCUCACCAAGCCGAUAAUCGAUAGGGGCCGUGAGAGCGGGAGCCCCGAGAUGGGUACUGAGACAACGACGCAGGCCUUACGAGGCGCAGCAGGCGCGAAACCUCCGCAAUACACGAAAGUGUGACGGGGUUACCCAAAGUGUUCUAUUUAGAACUGUGGUAGGUGAGUAAUGUCCCCUACUAGAAAGGAGAGGGCAAGGCUGGUGCCAGCCGCCGCGGUAAAACCAGCUCUUCAAGUGGUCGGGAUAAUUAUUGGGCUUAAAGUGUCCGUAGCCGGUUUAGUAAGUUCCUGGUAAAAUCGGGUAGCUUAACUAUCUAUAUGCUAGGAAUACUACUAUACUAGAGGGCGGGAGAGGUCUGAGGUACUACAGGGGUAGGGGUGAAAUCUUAUAAUCCUUGUAGGACCACCAGUGGCGAAGGCGUCAGACUGGAACGCGCCUGACGGUGAGGGACGAAAGCCAGGGGAGCGAACCGGAUUAGAUACCCAGGUAGUCCUGGCCGUAAACGAUGCAUACUAGGUGAUGGCACGGCCAUGAGCCGUGUCAGUGCCGUAGGGAAACCGUUAAGUGUGCCGCCUGGGAAGUACGGUCGCAAGGCUAAAACUUAAAGGAAUUGGCGGGGGAGCACCACAAGGGGUGAAGCCUGCGGUUCAAUUGGACUCAACGCCGG
rnacentral:rRNA from 1 species